UUGUCGAAUCCUGUAGAAGCAAACCGCGAACAUGUAUAAUCACAUUGGGAUUGCGGCGGGGGAAUCUUCGUGGCAUCCCCUUCCGGCAUGCUUCACCUUGGUGGGUGUUGUGGGGGCUAACGAACCCGGGCGGGAAUGCGCCAAGGAUUACUCAUGAAGCUUCCACCUCCCCUGUCCCCUUCGCGGUGAUUUUGGGGAAGAGGAUGAUUUUCAAAAGGACUCUGGCCAAGGGAUAUUUGGGUUUUGGCAUGGAUGAGGAACGUAGGGAAUUGGGAUAUUUGGUGUGAAUUGCAGAAUCCCGUGACCCAUGGAGUCUUUGAACCCAAGUUGCGCCGGAACCCUUUUGCCCAAGGCCAGGUCGCCCUGGGGGUCAGGCAUGGCGUCGUUCCCUCCCGUCCCUCGGACAAUGGCCUCCCGUGCAUUAUGAUGUGCGGCCGGCCUAAAUGAGAUCCUGCGGCGACUCACGUCACGACCAGUGGUGGUUGAACUCUCAACUCUCGUGCGUUGUGACGUAUGGCGUCGGACAUUGUCGCAUACCCAAUGGUGUGAUAUAUUCACGCUUUGA
rnacentral:rRNA from 1 species